GGGAAUCUGCCCUUUGGUUCGGAAUAACAGUUGGAAACGACUGCUAAUACCGGAUGAUGACGAAAGUCCAAAGAUUUAUCGCCAGAGGAUGAGCCCGCGUAGGAUUAGCUAGUUGGUGUGGUAAAGGCGCACCAAGGCGACGAUCCUUAGCUGGUCUGAGAGGAUGAUCAGCCACACUGGGACUGAGACACGGCCCAGACUCCUACGGGAGGCAGCAGUGGGGAAUAUUGGACAAUGGGCGAAAGCCUGAUCCAGCAAUGCCGCGUGAGUGAUGAAGGCCUUAGGGUUGUAAAGCUCUUUUACCCGGGAUGAUAAUGACAGUACCGGGAGAAUAAGCUCCGGCUAACUCCGUGCCAGCAGCCGCGGUAAUACGGAGGGAGCUAGCGUUGUUCGGAAUUACUGGGCGUAAAGCGCACGUAGGCGGCUUUGUAAGUUAGAGGUGAAAGCCUGGAGCUCAACUCCAGAACUGCCUUUAAGACUGCAUCGCUUGAAUCCAGGAGAGGUGAGUGGAAUUCCGAGU
rnacentral:rRNA from 1 species